rfam:Dipodomys ordii contig_49606, whole genome shotgun sequence.
GGUGGCUCAGUGGUAGAGUGCUUGCCUCGCAUGCAUGAGGCCUUGGGUUCGAUUCCUCAGCACCA